GGCGGGGCGGGCUUCACCACGGGCCUGGGCGGGGCUUCACAGGCCGAGCCCGCGGGUCAGCAAGGGCCGGGGGGGGGCUCAGCCCUGAGGCGUCCGUGUGGCUACUCCUCAAAGCGCUCUUUUUGCUACCCGUUGCCUUCCCUCCCAUUCCAGCAGCGCUCACUUUACUCUUCCCUUUUAGAUCAGCCCAGCCAGAUCUCACCGCAACAGAAAAACCCUUUAAAUGGGAAAGUUUUUGUUUAAAACACACGCAGCCCUCGAAAUGCAGGGGAAGGCUGGAUUCUGCCCUUUCUCACCAGGAAGCCUUGCAGGGCUGCUGGAAGAGCUGUUCGUUCUCCUUUGCUGCAGUUAUUUUUCAAGGAAGUGACAGGCCUGGGCUUAAAAGGGAAAUCCAGCCAUUUCUCUGCAUGCCCUAACAGGGUUCUGUGAUUAGGAAGGAAACAGGCUGUGGAGUUCAGCCUUUGUGAAUUGCAGAGUUCUGAAGUGAAGCAGGGGAAAAAAAACCACCCACCCACCUGACGGAAGGGGAAUGGGUUAUAAAGCUUUGAUCCGAAGCAGAUAAUGGUGGAAAUACUCCCGUUUUGAGGUUGAAAUUGGUAGUUUCGUAUGCACGUAGUUUCAUUUAAGGAUAUAAGUGAGUUUUUUGUGUAUUUUCAGGCACUGAAGUAUCCCUGUGGACCUGAUCUGAGCUGCUCUGGCACACUGACGUUGCAGUGAGGUUCACUGUCCUCGAGUAUUUGAAAGAGAGAAAACAAACAAAUGUCAGUGUGGUAGUGGCCUAAAAUUCAGUUCUCCUCUGCCAUGUUACAGUGGUGAAAGCAUCUGAGCCACAUGUUAUGCUGGUAUCCAUGUUAGGAAGAUGAUCUAGCAAAAACAGUGGGAUGGGGCUUGGAAGGUUCCUUGUUCUGAUGCUGAUCUUAACAGUUCACUCUCCACAGCCAGGAUCCGUCUGACCAAAGGUAGACAAGGAUAGGCAGCUGAGCUGAGCUCCUCUGAGCUGGUGCCUUUGAUUCCCCUUAAAGCUAAUGGAGCGGAAAAGGUGGUAGAAUUCAGCCUUUAGAUUUCUAAAACAGGGCAGAUUUCCCUCACUGCUUUUUGAAUCUCCAGCAACCCCGAGCAGCCUCAUGUCAUUGCAAACCACACCUUUUCCUGAAGGAGGGAUGGAGCUUGAACACAAGUCUCAUUGUUUCCAGUUCAUUGUUCAAGAAUUCUGUCAUCUGUUUCUGUGGCUGAUUUAUUUGUUAACAAGAGAGCACUCGGGAAACUAUUCCUGUAUUGCUUUGUUACUUAUGUUGAUGCCCUUCUUUUUCUUUGAAGUAUUUAGGGGAAUUUAUGCACAGAUUACACUAGAUAUCAAGGAAACCAUGGUGGAAGAUUGACAUCUAAACAUACUCUGUUUCUUGUCAAAGUAAAGAUGUCAUCCCAGAUGCACCAAAAUGUUGCAGACAGAAUGUUGAGUUGCACUUAAUUUGGGCAACAAACAAUAAGAGCAGCCAAUGCUUAAUGAAGAUAAAUUGUUCUUCAGUUACUAGCAACGAUUCUUUGAAACAGUUACCCUGCAUUUAACAGUGAUCAUGUUACUCAAACACCUGAGUGUUUGCUGAUGAACGAAACAAUAAUAAAACAAUGCCUCUCUUCCUUUUC